AGUGAACGCUGGCGGCGUGCUUAACACAUGCAAGUCGAACGAGAACGGAAUAUAGCUUGCUAUAUUUGUCAGCUAAGUGGCGCACGGGUGAGUAAUGUAUAGAUAACCUGCCCUUAAGAAAGGAAUAACAGUUGGAAACGACUGCUAAUGCCCUAUAUGCCUUUAAUACAUAAGUAUGCAAGGGAAACGCUUUAGUGCUUAAGGAUGGGUCUGUAUGGUAUCAGCUUGUUGGUGAGGUAAUGGCUCACCAAGGCUAUGACGCCUAACUGGUUUGGGCGGAUGACCAGUCACACUGGAACUGGGACACGGUCCAGACUCCUACGGGAGGCAGCAGUGGGGAAUAUUGCACAAUGGACGAAAGUCUGAUGCAGCAACGCCGCGUGGAGGAUGACACAUUUCGGUGCGUAAACUCCUUUUAUAUAGGAAGAUAAUGACGGUACUAUAUGAAUAAGCACCGGCUAACUCCGUGCCAGCCGCCGCCGUAA
rnacentral:rRNA from 1 species